rnacentral:rRNA from 1 species
UUGUGGUGUAUGCAGGCGGCCCGGCACUUUGUGCUGGUGUUUGCUUGCGUCGCCAUCCUUGGGUGGAUCCUGUGUGGCAUUAAGUUGUCGUGCAGGGGAUGCCCAUCGUUUACUGUGAAAAAAUUAGAGUGUUCAAAGCAGGCUUACGCCGUUGAAUAUAUUAGCAUGGAAUAAUAAGAUAGGACCUUGGUACUAUUUUGUUGGUUUGCGCACCAAGGUAAUGAUUAAUAGGGACAGUUGGGGGUAUUCGUAUUUCAUUGUCAGAGGUGAAAUUCUUGGAUUUUUGAAAGACGAACUACUGCGAAAGCAUUUACCAAGGAUGUUUUCAUUAAUCAAGAACGAAAGUUAGGGGAUCGAAGAUGAUUAGAUACCAUCGUAGUCUUAACCAUAAACUAUGCCGACAAGGGAUUGGCGGAGUUUCGUUAUGUCUCCGUCAGCACCUUAUGAGA